UGGGGAAUCUUCCGCAAUGGACGAAAGUCUGACGGAGCAACGCCGCGUGAGUGAAGACGGCCUUCGGGUUGUAAAGCUCUGUGAUCCGGGACGAAAGAGCCUGAGGUGAAUAGCCUAAGGAAGUGACGGUACCGGAAAAGCAAGCCACGGCUAACUACGUGCCAGCAGCCGCGGUAAUACGUAGGUGGCAAGUGUUGUCCGGAAUUAUUGGGCGUAAAGCGCGCGCAGGCGGCUUCCUAAGUCCAUCUUAAAAGUGCGGGGCUUAACCCCGUGAUGGGAUGGAAACUGGGAAGCUGGAGUAUCGGAGAGGAAAGUGGAAUUCCUAGUGUAGCGGUGAAAUGCGUAGAGAUUAGGAAGAACACCGGUGGCGAAGGCGACUUUCUGGACGAAAACUGACGCUGAGGCGCGAAAGCGUGGGGAGCAAACAGG
rnacentral:rRNA from 1 species